AGAGUUUGAUCCUGGCUCAGACGAAGCUGGCGGCAUGCUUAACACAUGCAAGUCGAACGAGACCUUCGGGUCUAGUGGCGCACGGGUGCGUAACGCGUGGGAAUCUGCCCUUUGCUACGGAAUAACUCAGAGAAAUUUGUGCUAAUACCGUAUAAUGUCGUAAGACCAAAGAUUUAUCGGCAAAGGAUGAGCCCGCGUAAGAUUAGCUUGUUGGUGAGGUAAAGGGCUCACCAAGGCGACGAUCUUUAGCUGGUCUGAGAGGAUGAUCAGCCACACUGGGACUGAGACACGGCCCAGACUCCUACGGGAGGCAGCAGUGGGGAAUAUUGGACAAUGGGCGAAAGCCUGAUCCAGCAAUGCCGCGUGAGUGAUGAAGGCCUUAGGGUUGUAAAGCUCUUUACCAGGGAUGAUAAUGACAGUACCUGGAGAAUAAGCUCCGGCUAACUCCGUG
rnacentral:rRNA from 1 species